rnacentral:lncRNA from 1 species
AGAAAACAAAAAUGUGGAGAAAAAAAAAGAAAAAAAAGGAAGGAAUGGUGUUUUACCUGCUCUUUAAAGAAUUUCAGUGAAGUGAGGGUGAGAGCACCGUCAAAUGAGAGAAGUAUUGUGAGAGCAAAUGUUACUUUUUUGGUAUACAUAAUGAAUGAAUGUAGUAUUUUAUUUUUAGGGUUUCAUAAAUAAAAUAAUAAAUUAAAAAAAUAAAAUUAGGUAGGUGGGUUGGUGGGCCAACCCGGCUCACCACAGGUUUAACCCGCAUGAGCCGGGUUGAAAUCUGACCCGCACAUAAAUGUGUUGUAUUUUUCAAACCCAAUCCGGCCCGAACCCGUGACGGACCGGGUUAACUCGCGAAUUGUGACCCAUUUUAACGGCUCUACCUUUAAAACUGUAGUAUCGACUACCUAUACAUAUCAUAUCCAUGUUCUUGUAAAUUUUUGCACAUUUUAUAAAUUUUUAAUACAAAUAAAUUCAACAUCAAUAAUACUUGUCCUUAGCGUAAUUCUUAC